rnacentral:rRNA from 1 species
AUUGAACGCUGGCGGCAGGCUUAACACAUGCAAGUCGAGCGGGGUGAUGGUGCUUGCACUAUCACUUAGCGGCGGACGGGUGAGUAAUGCUUAGGAAUCUGCCUAUUAGUGGGGGACAACAUCUCGAAAGGGAUGCUAAUACCGCAUACGUCCUACGGGAGAAAGCAGGGGAUCACUUGUGACCUUGCGCUAAUAGAUGAGCCUAAGUCGGAUUAGCUAGUGGGUGGGGUAAAGGCCUACCAAGGCGACGAUCUGUAGCGGGUCUGAGAGGAUAAUCCGCCACACUGGGACAGAGACACGGCCCAGAAGACAACAGGAGGCAGCAGUGGGGAAUAUUGGACCAUGGGGGGAACCCUGAUCCAGCCAUGCCGCGUGUGUGAAGAAGGCCUUAUGGUUGUAAAGCACUUUAAGCGAGGAGGAGGAUCUUCUGGUUAAUACCCAAGAUGAGUGGACGUUACUCGCAGAAUAAGCACCGGCUAACUCUGUGCCAGCCGCCGCCGUAA